rnacentral:tRNA from 1 species
GGCCAUUUACCUUAAUUGUACAGUACUCAGCUGGUAUCUGAGUGGUGCAGGAUCAAGUCCUGUAGCCA